rnacentral:rRNA from 1 species
GACGAACGCUGGCGGCGUGCUUAAUACAUGCAAGUCGAGCGGAAAGGCGCCGUUGGUGGUACUCUGAUGGCAAACGGGGAAGUAAGAGGUGCGUAAGCUGCCCCUGACUUCGGGACAACUAUAAGUAAGGGAGACCAAUACCGGUUCGGAAUACUUUCUUGAUCGGGAGGGUUGGAUAGCUACGGCGGGUUUGGCUGGAUUCGCUGCAUAUCUGCUUGCUGGUGGGGUAGUGGCUUACCGAGCCUGUGACGGGUAGCGCGCCUGUGGGGGCGACCUGCGACCUUGGGACUGAGAGACGGCCCCGACUCCUACGGGAGGCAGAAGUGGGGAAUCUUGACGAAGGGGCGGCAGCCUGAUGCAGCAACGCCGCGGGCCGGAUGACGGCCUUCGGGUUGUAAACCGAUUUUAGCAGGGGCGAAGCUUGUCGUGACGGUACCUGCAGAAAAAGCACCGGCUAACUACGUG